CUGGGGUGCUCGAGUGGCGAACGGGUGAGUAACACGUGGGUGAUCUGCCCUGCACUUCGGGAUAAGCUUGGGAAACUGGGUCUAAUACCGGAUAGGACCAUCGUUUAGUGUCGGUGUGGAAAGUUUUUUCGGUGUGGGAUGAGCUCGCGGCCUAUCAGCUUGUUGGUGGGGUAAUGGCCUACCAAGGCGUCGACGGGUAGCCGGCCUGAGAGGGUGUACGGCCACAUUGGGACUGAGAUACGGCCCAG
rnacentral:rRNA from 1 species